UGUUAUAUUGACUUUUAUUUUGGUCUCUUUCACUUAAGAGUUGAAUGAUUUGAGCUUUUGUGCUAAUUUUGUUGUCUCAGGAUUUUGUGCUCACAUUGAUUGAUAUGUGGACAAAAGUAAAGUCAGAAUUUAGUUGAAUGGUCUGAAGAAGAAUCGAAGUUCGUCUCGAUACGAGUUCGUAGGCGAAAACGGAUCUAAA
rnacentral:lncRNA from 1 species